UGGGGAAUCUUGGACAAUGGGGGCAACCCUGAUCCAGCCAUGCCGCGUGAGUGAUGAAGGCCUUAGGGUCGUAAAGCUCUUUCGCCUGUGAAGAUAAUGACGGUAGCAGGUAAAGAAACCCCGGCUAACUCCGUGCCAGCAGCCGCGGUAAUACGGAGGGGGUUAGCGUUGUUCGGAAUUACUGGGCGUAAAGCGCACGUAGGCGGACCAGAAAGUUGGGGGUGAAAUCCCGGGGGCUCAACCCCGGAACUGCCUCCAAAACUAUUGGUCUAGAGUUCGAGAGAGGUGAGUGGAAUUCCAAGUGUAGAGGUGAAAUUCGUAGAUAUUUGGAGGAACACCAGUGGCGAAGGCGGCUCACUGGCUCGAUACUGACGCUGAGGUGCGAAAGUGUGGGGAGCAAACAGGAUUAGAUACCCUGGUAGUCCACGCCGUAAAACGAUGAGUGCUAGAUGUUGGGA
rnacentral:rRNA from 1 species